rnacentral:rRNA from 1 species
CAAUAGCGUAUAUUAAAGUUGUUGCGGUUAAAAAGCUCGUAGUUGGAUUUCUUCCAGGGGCAGUCGGUCCACACUACGUGUGCGUAUCUGAUUUGACUUUGGAAUCCUCUUGGGGAACAUCUCUGCGCUUAACUGCGUGGAAUGGUAUUCAAGACUUUUACUUUGAGGAAAUUAGAGUGUUCACGGCAGGCAAUCGCCCUGAAUACAUUAGCAUGGAAUAAUAAUAUAGGAUUUCGGUUCUAUUUUGUUGGUUUCUAGAGCCGAGAUAAUGAUUAAUAGGGACACUUGGGGGCAUUCGUAUUAUCACGUCAGAGGUGGAAUUCUUGGAUUGUGUUACGACGAACUACUGCGAAAGCAUUUGCCAAGGAUGUUUUCAUUGA